AUUGAACGCUGGCGGCAUGCUUUACACAUGCAAGUCGGACGAGUGGCGAACGGGUGAGUAACGCAUCGGAACGUACCGAGUAAUGGGGGAUCACUGUCCGAAAGGACAGCUAAUACCGCAUAUUAUUCGAGCGGCCGAUGUCUGAUUAGCUGGUUGGCGGGGUAAAGGCCCACCAAGGCGACGUUCAGUAGCGGGUCUGAGAGGAUGAUCCGCCACACGGGGACUGAGACACGGCCCAGAUUCCUACGGGAGGCAGAAGUGGGGAAGAUUGCGCAAUGGGGGCAACCCUGCCGCAGCAAGGCGGCGUGAAUGAAGAAGGCCUUCGGGUUGUAAAGUUCUUUCGGUGACGAGGCGUUAAUCACAGAAGAAGCACCGGCUAACUCCGUGCCAGCAGCCGCGGUAAUUC
rnacentral:rRNA from 1 species